AGGGAUGUAGCUCAGUGGCACAGCACCUGCCUGGCAUGAGGCCCUGAGUUCAAAUCCCAGCACCCCCC
rnacentral:tRNA from 1 species